GACGAACGCUGGCGGCGUGCUUAACACAUGCAAGUCGAGCGGUAAGGCCCUUUCGGGGGUACACGAGCGGCGAACGGGUGAGUAACACGUGGGUGACCUGCCCUCAGCUCUGGGAUAAGCUUGGGAAACCGGGUCUAAUACCGGAUAUGACUCCAUGACGCAUGUUGUGGGGUGGAAAGCCUUGUGCGGCUGAGGAUGGGCCCGCGGCCUAUCAGCUUGUUGGUGGGGUGAUGGCCUACCAAGGCGACGACGGGUAGCCGGCCUGAGAGGGCGACCGGCCACACUGGGACUGAGACACGGCCCAGACUCCUACGGGAGGGCAGCAGUGGGGAAUCUUGCGCAAUGGGCGAAAGCCUGACGCAGCGACGCCGCGUGAGGGAUGAC
rnacentral:rRNA from 1 species